UAUUAGGAUGGUGGCUCAACAUGAUGAGAAUAUUGAGCAGGUCAUCAUUCUAGAGACGAAGAAGGAGAUCGCCAUGGGGUGCAGCGACUGUGCUUGGAUGGCACUACAUGCGGCACCGGCUCCUCCAUCAUUGAUAACUGCUGCUGUUGUUGUGUUUGCUAGAGAUUGUGAACUACCUUCGUUAAUAUCUUCACCUACUGCACCAAGA
rnacentral:lncRNA from 1 species